UACGUAGGGUGCAGGCGUUAAUCGGAAUUACUGGGCGUAAAGCGUGCGCAGGCGGUCUUUUAAGUCGGAUGUGAAAGCCCUGGGCUCAACCCAGGAAGUGCACUCGAAACUGGUAGACUUGAGUAUCGGAGAGGUUGGUGGAAUUCUCGGUGUAGAGGUGAAAUUCGUAGAUAUCGAGAGGAACACCGGUGGCGAAGGCGGCCAACUGGACGAAUACUGACGCUGAGACACGAAAGCGUGGGGAGCAAACAGG
rnacentral:rRNA from 1 species